rnacentral:rRNA from 1 species
GAUGAACGCUGGCGGCGUGCCUAAUACAUGCAAGUCGAGCGAACAGACGAGGAGCUUGCUCCUCUGACGUUAGCGGCGGACGGGUGAGUAACACGUGGAUAACCUACCUAUAAGACUGGGAUAACUUCGGGAAACCGGAGCAAAUACCGGAUAAUAUAUUGAACCGCAUGGUUCAAUAGUGAAAGACGGUUUUGCUGUCACUUAUAGAUGGAUCCGCGCCGCAUUAGCUAGUUGGUAAGGUCACGGCUUACCAAGGCAACGAUGCGUAGCCGACCUGAGAGGGUGAUCGGCCACACUGGAGCUGGGACACGGUCCAGACUCCUGCGGGAGGCAGCAGUAGGGAAUCUUCCGCAAUGGGCGAAAGCCUGACGGAGCAACGCCGCGUGAGUGAUGAAGGUCUUCGGAUCGUAAAGCUCUGUUAUUAGGGAAGAACAAAUGUGGAAGUAACUAUGCACGUCUUGACGGUACCUAAUCAGAAAGCCACGGCUAACUACGUG